rnacentral:miRNA from 1 species
GGCCAGGUUGACCGGAAGGGUUUCCUUCCGGUCGAUGAGGUAGAUGUACCUCAUCAAUCAGAAGGGGUUCCUUCCGUCGAUGAGGUACAUGUACCUCGUUGACCGGAAGGAAACCCUUCCAAUCAGCGAGGUA